UUAUGUCCAGGGCUACACACGUGCGUACAAUGGCCGGUACAAAGGGGCGCAAGACCGCGAGGUGGAGCAAAUCCCAAAAACCGGUCUCAGUUCGGAUUGGAGUCUGCAACCUCGACUCCAUGAAGUUGGAAUCGCUAGUAAUCGCGUAUCAGCAUGACGCGGUGAAUACGUUCCCGGGCCUU
rnacentral:rRNA from 1 species